rnacentral:rRNA from 1 species
GUUGAUCCUGCGGGAGGUUGCCGCUAUUGGGAUUCGAUUAAGCCAUGCAAGUCAGGGAGCUUCGUGCGACCGGCAGAAUGCUCAGUAACACGUCGAUAAUCUAACCUUGGAUCUGGGAUAGCCUUGGGAAACUGAGGGUAAACCCGGAUACAAGAAUAUGUCUGGAAUGAUUUUUCUUAUAAAAGCAAUGUCUAAGGAUGAGUCGGCGGUCGAUUAGGUUGUUGGUGAGGUAAUGGCUCACCAAGCCGAAGAUCGAUAGGGGCCUUGAGAGAGGUAGCCUCGAGAAGGGCACUGAGAUACUGGCCCUAGCCCUACGGGGUGCAGCAGGCGCGAAACCUUUACAAUACACGAAAGUGUGAUAGGGGAAUCCUGAGUGCUCAUGCAUUGCAUGGGCUUUUUUUCAUGAUCAAGACUCUUAAGAAUAAGUGGUGGGCAAGACUGGUGCCAGCAGCCGCGGUAACACCAGCGCCACGAGUGGGGACCGUCUUUAUUUGGCCUAAAGCGUCCGUAGCAGGUUCGGUGAAUCUUUUGUGAAAUCGUUAAGCUUAACUUAACGGCGCGCAGAGGACACUACCGAACUUGGAACCGGGAGGAGUCAGAGGUAUUCUUGGGGGAGCGGUAAAAUGCUAUAAUCCCUUGAAGACCACCUGUGGCGAAGGCGUCUGACUAGAACGGAUUCGACUGUGAGGGACGAAAGCCAGGGGAGCGAACCGGAUUAGAUACCCGGGUAGUCCUGGCUGUAAACGCUGCGAGCUAGGUGUUACAUAUUCUCCGAGAAUAUGUGGUGUCGAAGCGAAGGUGUUAAGCUCGCCGCCUGGGAAGUAUGGUCGCAAGACUGAAACUUAAAGGAAUUGGCGGGGGAGCACUACAAGGGGUGCGGCGUGCGGUUCAAUCUAACUCAACGCAGAAAAUCUCACCAGGUGCGACGGCAGGAUGAAAGUCAGGCUGAAGACCUUACUUGACGAGCCGAGAGGUAGUGCAUGGCCGUCGUCAGCUCGUGCCGUAAGGUGUCCUCUUAAUUGAGGCAACGAGCGAGACCUGUACCUACAAUUGCUAACGAGUUCAUCGAAUGAUCGAGCACAUUGUAGGGACUGCCCUGGAAACAGGGAGGAAGGUGCAGGCUACGAUAGGUCUGUAUGCUCCGAAUCUCCUGGGCUACACGCGCGCAACAAUGAUAGGGACAAUGGGAUACAACUCCGAAAGGAGAAGUUAAACCUCUAAACCCUAUCCCAGUUCAGAUCGAGGAUUGUAACUCAUCCUCGUGACGUCGGAAUCCCUAGUAAUCGGGUUUCAACAUGGCCCGGUGAACAUGUCCCUGCUCCUUGCACACACCGCCCGUCAAACCAACCGAGCAGAGUCUAGAUGAGUAUUAGUCCUCUUGACUAAUCCGAAUCUAGGCCCAGUGAGGUGGGUUAAGUCGUCACAAGGUA